CAACAUUCGGGUUCCUGGCUCAUAGUUUACAACAACCUGUGGCUGACGUUGUAAGCUCGGGUCCUGGCAUUGGAUUCAUCGUGUACCCAGAGGCAGUUGCAUUACUGCCGUUUCCUCAACUGUGGUCCGUGUUAUUCUUUACAACAGUGCUGAUGAUGGUGGUUGACUCAACGUUGGGACAUGUUGAGACAGCUGUUGGUUGUAUGGAAGAUCUGCUUCCGAGGCGGUUCCACGUCAAGCACCUGCAGACUAUCAUAGCUGCUGUGUUCAUGGGAGUCGUGUGCCUUGCUGGUCUUGUGUUCACAACUCAUGGCGGAGUAUACGUGUUUCAGUUG